UACAGAGGUCUCAAGCGUUGUUCGGAUUCAUUGGGCGUAAAGGGUGCGUAGGCGGCGCGGUAAGUCGGGUGUGAAAUCUCGGAGCUUAACUCCGAAACUGCAUUCGAUACUGCCGUGCUUGAGGACUGGAGAGGAGACUGGAAUUUACGGUGUAGCGGUGAAAUGCGUAGAUAUCGGGAGGAACACCAGUGGCGAAGGCGACUUCCUGGCCUGUUCUUGACGCUGAGGCGCGAAAGCUAGGGUAGCAAACGGG
rnacentral:rRNA from 1 species